CGCUAUUUCAACACACACUCUGCCUGGUGGCUCAGGGGAUCCCACUCAGUGGUCUCUUGGGGCUUCUCUAUGCAUCAACUUUGCCCAGCUACCCCCGUGACCAUGUCCAGGACUACCAGGGGCCUUUCUUGAUGACUGACACUAUGUAUCUAAUAUAUUUAAGGGCUACUACCCAUAAUAUUUGACACUCACUGAGCAAAUACUCAGCAAAUAUUUCUUGGAUACACACGAAGUUCAAACUAUGGCUUCAAAUAUGAAGAGACACAGAAAGAUAGGCAUCAGAGGCAUGUAUCAUCCCAAGGUUUGCAAGCUAGUAGAAGUUAAGAUAAGAAGCCACCCUUGGCCUCCUCUAUACAGAUGCCUGACUGGCUCCAGGGAGCUCAGACCAGCUUGAAAACUCCAAGAGCUGUGGGACCCCAAAUAUGUAAAAAUCAUAGCUUGCAUCUUUUUCACAGCCUAAACAAUCUGUGAUGGGUAAACAAUUCCUGGUGGAUCCCAUGAGUCAGGGAGGAGGGGCUGGUGGCAUGGGUGGGGGAAGGGGAGGCAGCGAGUGAGAGGAGAGAGGGCACCCUUUCUGUGUGCCGGUCACCAGAUGGACUCUUAGUUCUGUUUCAAUGUCACAUAGUGACCUGGACUCUUGGUGUCAGAACCGUGUCUUCUAUUUCUGCCACAACCCCAGGAAUGAGCAGAGGACUAAUCAAGUGCUUCUCAAAUAUGACAUAGCCAAUGUCCUCCUUUGAUUCUGAGCCAGC
rnacentral:lncRNA from 1 species